CAACUUUCAACAACGGAUCUCUUGGCUCUCGCAUCGAUGAAGAACGCAGCGAAAUGCGAUAAGUAAUGUGAAUUGCAGAAUUCAGUGAAUCAUCGAAUCUUUGAACGCACCUUGCGCUCCUUGGUAUUCCGAGGRGCAUGCCUGUUUGAGUGUCAUGA
rnacentral:rRNA from 1 species